AUUGAACGCUGGCGGCAUGCUUUACACAUGCAAGUCGAACGGUAACAGGCCUUCGGGUGCUGACGAGUGGCGCACGGGGGAGUAAUGCAUCGGAACGUGCCCAGGGGUGGGGGAUAACGCAGCGAAAGCUGUGCUAAUACCGCACGUGAUCUGAGGAUGAAAGCGGGGGACCAGGCAGCAAUGUUUGGCCUCGCGCCUUUCGAGCUGCCGAUGUCUGAUUAGGUAGUUGGUGGGGUAAAGGCCUACCAAGCCGACGAUCUGUAGCUGGUCUGAGAGGACGACCAGCCACACUGGGACUGAGACACGGCCCAGACUCCUACGGGAGGCAGCAGUGGGGAAUUUUGGACAAUGGGCGCAAGCCUGAUCCAGCAAUGCCGCGUGUGGGAAGAAGGCCUUCGGGUUGUAAAGCGCUUUUGUACGGAACGAAAAGGAUCUGGCUAAUACCUGGGGCUGAUGACGGUACCGUAAGAAUAAGCACCGGCUAACUACGUG
rnacentral:rRNA from 1 species